GAGGCCAGCUGAAGUCAGUAAAUUCCAUUCAGCAAUAUAGGUAGCAGCUGCCCCCUGAAGACGUCACCGGCCGAGUUCAUCAGCACCAUGGGGAGUGCCCUGUGGAUUUCCAGAGCCCAGCCUCCCUCCGUGUCUCUGGUCUUGCCAUCCUGCCGCCUCUGCAGGCUCCAGCUCUCUGGGCUGGGGUUGGAUAGGCACAGAGACUCUAGGCCACACUAAGAGCUGUGUGCCCCUCCUAUGUCCAUGUGCAGUUUUUAUUGUCUUCAUCGAGUUAUUCCUCACACAAAUCCUUUACAGCAGUGAUUCUUAGAUCCCAGAUGAAAUACUGUGCAGUAGAGUCACCAUGGCUCCCAGGGGCGACAGGGCCUGAGUAGACCUGAUGUGACCCACUCAUCUCCCUACUUGUUCAUGGAAGACUCAGCCUCUAGGUUCAAAGAAUCUCUUUCCUUUACUUCCACUGUCUUCCUGUGAGCACCACUCACACGGCUGACCCUUCUUGUCCCCCAGUUCCUGAUGUCCACUCCUCCAUGACCCUUCACCUUUUGCUCCCUCCACACCCUCCCAUGGCUCACAGGCUCACCCCUCCAGCAUGCAGGGGGACACCUACAUGAAAAAGGAAACACCU
rnacentral:lncRNA from 1 species